rnacentral:lncRNA from 1 species
AAGCCUAGCACAAGCAUUCGUCAAGCUGUUGGAAAAUCUAUUCAAGCCACUUAUCCAUUCAUCCCCAUCUCUCUUUCUCUCUCUCUCUCUCUCUCUCUCUCUCUCUCUCUCUCUCUCUCUCUCUCUCUCUCUCUCUCUCUCAAAAAGCUCCAUCCCAUAUCUGAAACACCUAACCUCUCAAGCUAAGUUGAAAUUACAGUCAUUACCUUUGUGGUAAGAAAACGCAGACAUCGCAAGCUCUUCGUCUAACUGCCG